AGUUUGAUCCUGGCUCAGACGAACGCUGGCGGCAUGCCUAACACAUGCAAGUCGAACGAGACCUUCGGGUCUAGUGGCGCACGGGUGCGUAACGCGUGGGAACCUGCCUUUAGGUUCGGAAUAACUCAGAGAAAUUUGAGCUAAUACCGGAUAAUGUCUUCGGACCAAAGAUUUAUCGCCUUUAGAUGGGCCCGCGUAAGAUUAGCUAGUUGGUGGGGUAAAGGCCUACCAAGGCGACGAUCUUUAGCUGGUCUGAGAGGAUGAUCAGCCACACUGGGACUGAGACACGGCCCAGACUCCUACGGGAGGCAGCAGUGGGGAAUAUUGGACAAUGGGCGAAAGCCUGAUCCAGCAAUGCCGCGUGAGUGAUGAAGGCCUUAGGGUUGUAAAGCUCUUUUACCCGAGAUGAUAAUGACAGUAUCGGGAGAAUAAGCUCCGGCUAACUCCGUG
rnacentral:rRNA from 1 species